AUGAUGUUGUAAGUCACCUCAAACGAACUUCUGAGAUACCUCCUGAACUUUCUAAAUAUGUGGCACAAUCUGUUGAAGCGAGUAUUUCCUGUGUCCAUAAAAUCCUUUAGAUGCUAUCUAUCGUCAUACUAGCCGUAACAUUUUUCAUUCCUUUUCAGCUUCUCCUUCGUUCUGUAUUAUAUUUCUGGGAGCCUACAUUUCAUCCCAUGAUACGUCAGGCCAACAUGGAAAAACUUUGGAUGUAGUUGAUGGGUUAAUGGCAAGGGAAGAAUGCUUAGAGCCAGUUGCACCGCUUAUUAGAGAUUUCCCGCUUCAUUUGCAACCUUAUGCACAUGCUUUGAUUAAGUCUAAGCUUGAAGAGUCUAAGUACUAUGUUGCAGUAAAUCAAAUAAGGUUGCAUGAACAGUUUGAUGAGUUUUUGGCCUCUAGCAAGUUGGACUGUGAUGUGUAUCGGUUCAUGUUUUCAAAGGUUACUCUUCCUGUUCAGAUAGACGAAGAUUGUAUGGAGGUUGUUGUAAACAAGGUGCCAAGUAAGUUUUGGGAAUUGGAGCCUGCUCUAAGAAAACUAUCUUUUGAGCGGAGAGCAGACAUUGUACAAGUGGAGACUGAAAUCUACACCUAUCUUGAAUGUUUGCAAGGACUCUUUGCGAGUGAGGAAGUACGUAUACAACAGUUAAUCCGCUGUUUUACUGCUUGCUCAAGCGGCUCUUAUUCCUUUAUCUGUCCUUUUUUC